GCCAUUCACAAGUGGCUCCAGCCUGGUUUGGGGGUCUAGCCUGUCUCAUCCUGUCCUGCCACCCAAUAAAAAGAGAAGAAAGGCCUCUGCAACUGCUUUUACCAGAUGCUGUGAGAGAGUUAUGCCCUGUGCCGCGGCUUCUGAUUCAGUACAGCAGUUCAACCAGCCCAGCAAACAGGAAAAGCUCAAGGAGGUGUCUUAACUGUCAGUAUCCAAAGAUCAGGCUACUGUUAGGUCCA